rnacentral:rRNA from 1 species
GAUGAACGCUGGCGGCGUGCCUAAUACAUGCAAGUCGAGCGGUAAGGCCCCUUCGGGGGUACACGAGCGGCGGACGGCUGAGUAACGCGUAGGAACGUACCCCAAAGUGAGGGAUAAGCAUUGGAAACAGUGUCUAAUACCGCAUGUGAUCCACGGAUUAAAGCUUCGGCGCUUUGGGAACGGCCUGCGUAAGAUUAGCUAGUUGGUGAGGUAAUGGCUCACCAAGGCGACGAUCUUUAGCUGGUCUGAGAGGAUGAUCAGCCAGACUGGGACUGAGACACGGCCCAGACUCCUACGGGAGGCAGCAGUAGGGAAUUUUCCACAAUGGACGAAAGUCUGAUGGAGCAACGCCGCGUGCAGGAUGAAUGCCUUUGGGUUGUAAACUGCUUUUAUAGGUGACGAAUAUGACGGUAACCUAUGAAUAAGCUUCGGCUAAUUCCGUGCCAGCAGCCGCAGUAAAAC